AAUAGAUACCCCGGUAGUCCACGCCGUAAACGAUGGAUGCUAGCUAUUGGGGGGAAUCGACCCCCUCCGAAGCGAAGCUAACGCGUUAAGCAUCCCGCCUGAGUAGUACGAGCGCAAGCUUAAAACUCAAAGGAAUUGACGGGGACCCGCACAAGCGGUGGAGCGUGUGGUUUAAUUCGAUGGUAAACGAAGAACCUUACCAAGGUUUGACAUCCCGGUAGCCGUUCUCCGAAAGGAGAAUUUCAUUUAGUUGGACCGGUGACAGGUGAUGCAUGGCCGUCGUCAGCUCGUGUCGUGAGAUGUUGGGUUAAGUCCCGCAACGAGCGCAACCCUUAUGAUUUAGUUGGAUUUUUCUAAACAGACUGCCCUGGUAACAGGGAGGAAGGAGGGGAUGAUGUCAGGUCAGUAUUUCCCUUACACCUUGGGCGACACACGCGCUACAAUGGCCGGUACAAUGGGCAGCUAAGCCGCGAGGGUGGAGCAAAUCCCAUCAAAGCCGGUCCCAGUUCGGAUUGCAGGCUGAAACCCGCCUGCAUGAAGCCGGAAUCGCUAGUAACC
rnacentral:rRNA from 1 species